rnacentral:rRNA from 1 species
AUUGAACGCUGGCGGCAGGCCUAACACAUGCAAGUCGAGCGGAUGAAGGGAGCUUGCUCCUGGAUUCAGCGGCGGACGGGUGAGUAAUGCCUAGGAAUCUGCCUGGUAGUGGGGGAUAACGUCCGGAAACGGGCGCUAAUACCGCAUACGUCCUGAGGGAGAAAGUGGGGGAUCUUCGGACCUCACGCUAUCAGAUGAGCCUAGGUCGGAUUAGCUAGUUGGUGGGGUAAAGGCCUACCAAGGCGACGAUCCGUAACUGGUCUGAGAGGAUGAUCAGUCACACUGGAACUGAGACACGGUCCAGACUCCUACGGGAGGCAGCAGUGGGGAAUAUUGGACAACGGGCGAAAGCCUGAUCCAGCCAUGCCGCGUGUGUGAAGAAGGUCUUCGGAUUGUAAAGCACUUUAAGGUGGGAGGAAGGGCAGUAAGUUAAUACCUUGCUGUUUUGACGUUAACAACAGAAUAAGCACCGGCUAACUUCGUG